AGUGUUGGUGUAAGCGGCAGUAUCUUGAGAAGUUUGUAGCUGUUCUAACGUCAGCUAAAUAAGGUAUCCACUCAGAGGAAUUUACAAACUUAAAGUUCUGCUAUAUCCGGCUUGAUUAUGUCGGGCUUGCGGUUUUCAGGACUUGCGUUGCUCGCCUUGGCGCCACUAUUACUAUGCUGCUGCUCGGGAACUUACAUCGACGAUGGAGCAAUUCAUUCCUGUUACCAAACCUGCACGUACUACAAUAACGGAAGCAGCAGUGGAUGCAGCCCAGGCUGCCAUUGCAUCAGCGACAGAUACAAUGCUUUGGGAGAAGUACACAACCCACCUGGACCAGGAACCUGCUGGGUUUCCCGUCGUGGUUGAGGGCUGAAAUAAAGGACACAGGUGUGCUCUU